GGGUUGGAGUGCUUUGGGGCUCCAAGAGGCUUUGGGGCUGAGCUAGUGGAGUAAGUAGGUUGUAGGGUUUCUGCAUACAUCUUGCCCUUGAACCUGUUGAUGGGUUGCAGAAGGAGUUGGUGACCCCAGAGCGGGAUUUAGGAAGGGCUCUAGCCCCUCCCCCAUUGCCUUUGUCUUGUUUCCCCUAACCACCUAGCAUUUACGUUAAAAUAGUAGGUUUCCUGCAUUGAUUAUCUUCAACAGAAGAUCCUUUUCCAAGCCAGACCACAAUGGACCUCCCCAAAGUCCCUAAAAUACUGAAAAUGCUGAGCAGAUCUAUUCAGCAGGCCCUGCAGCUCAGCUGGAAAGUGGUGUGGAACUCUCCAGGGGGUGCACCAGGCCCAGAGCUGUAAAUGUGGCUGGGCUGUGGGCACCUGGCCCCUGGGAACCGGCAGGACAGGCAGGCCAGCAGCUAGCGCUGGGCCCUCAGCAGGGCGGGCACAACUUCCCUCUGGGCAAAUAAAUGGCUUCCUGGAGGAAGCAUCCUGGCUUCCAAGUAGCUGGCGAGAGUGUGAGCUGAGAGAAGAGGCACUUGCACGGUAUUGAUUGGCCUGUCGGAGGCCUGGGCAGGAUGUGUAAGAGCACAUCAAGAGACUGACUCUGCAACCAGGAGCCCUUGGCUCCACAGCCACCUGAAGAGCUGGCCUCCUGGCGUGGCCCCACCUGGGGGUCCUGACUUAGCUGGGACUUUUGCGAGGGAGCCCAGGAGCCCUGAACAUUUUGAAACUGCUGAGCAUCUCUUCCUCCCACCCCAUCCCCCAUUCCAGGCUUCUUAUUAAAGUUUUUUGUUUUUGUUUUUGUUUUUAGAAGUGUGGCUUUCUUCGACCGAUGUGGAGUGAGAACUUUAUUCUUUCUUUCUCCAACUCAACAAAGCAUAGUCAUGGGUCAGCUGACUGCCUGGGAGGGAACUUGACCCCCACCUCUCUCCCCAGACAAAGGGGUCUGCAGGGAUGGUCUGACUUUCCUCUAGGCCCUUCUCUCCCAGACAAGCUCAGGGCAAGCCAAGCAUCUACAGCUGUCCUCCCCUGCCCCUUAACCAGGGGUGCCUAGGGGCAGGAGCCUCUCAGGGCCUGGCCCCCAGCUGGCUCCAUAACUAAAUACACGUAACAAAAAUACUAAAUGCAGAUACACAUUUGGGAGAGAGUGAAAUAUGGGCAACUCCAAGUAAGUUGCCAAAUUACAGGACUAAUUCAUAAGCCUUUUUGCAUAAUUUGGAGUUUCUAGGAGCAUGUUGACCAAAGAAAAGGACUUUUGACCCCAGGCGUGAUAGGAAUGCACUAGGCAAACACCUGUUGGUAGAGGCAGAUUCUGACACAAAAAAGACCUCCCUGCUUUCCCAGAUAAUCUUCAUGUGCAGUGGAUUUGUGUACCCGGCUAGGCUAUAAAGUUCCCUUGUGAGAAGGCCUAUGAAGGGAAUAAGCUCCUUCCUUCUGGUCUAGCUGAGCCAAUGUAAUCAAGUCUUACCUGGGGAAAGAUGAUACUUGCAAAUGAGCCAGAGUUACCUCCCUGCAGUGAAAUCUAUGGAGGAGUCAGUCCUGCCUGACAGGUCCAGAGAUCAAAUCAAGUGCCCUCCCCGCCCCCACUCUGUUAGGUGGGAAAGGUGGGAAAAUUUAGGAUUGUCUAUCCAACCCAGCACUCAGCUAAUCUCCACUGAACCAUGAAUGAGGGAGUCAAUGAGGCAUGCAGCAAAGGGGAAGAAAUAAGUCAGUUUCUCUUAGGAGUUUUCAGGGACCACUUCUGGGGAGCAGCAGUAGUCACCAGAGACUAUAAAGUGGGGGACAGCCUUGCUGAGCAGCUCUGCAGGAUAGAAUGAAUAUGAGAAGCAGUUUUGCCUUUCUAAGAAUGGAGCACACGUGGACUUUAUACCGAUGUGCAUCGGUUUGAAUCAGACUUCUAUCACAUGGUACAGAGCAUUGGGAUUUUACCAGCGUUUUUGGGGGUGUCGAUAAGUUUUGUCUCAUCCAUGCUGAAAAAUACUUCUUUGUCUGAAUGUACAGAAAUCUGUUGACCCAUUCCUCUCAACUGAAGGACAAUUGAAUUGUUCCUGGAGAAUAAAGCUGCUACCCAGUAGCUUUUAUGUGGAUAGCUUGUCUUUCGUCUGAGGUCUUAUUAUAUAGAAGUGUCUUUGCUAGGCCCUAUGGAGGAGGAAGUCUAAUGUUGUAAGAAAGAUUCCAACCAGUUAGGCU